GCUUGCUCUUAUGAAGUUAGCGGCGGACGGGUGAGUAACACGUGGGUAACCUGCCCAUAAGACUGGGAUAACUCCGGGAAACCGGGGCUAAUACCGGAUAACAUUUUGAACCGCAUGGUUCGAAAUUGAAAGGCGGCUUCGGCUGUCACUUAUGGAUGGACCCGCGUCGCAUUAGCUAGUUGGUGAGGUAACGGCUCACCAAGGCAACGAUGCGUAGCCGACCUGAGAGGGUGAUCGGCCACACUGGGACUGAGACACGGCCCAGACUCCUACGGGAGGCAGCAGUAGGGAAUCUUCCGCAAUGGACGAAAGUCUGACGGAGCAACGCCGCGUGAGUGAUGAAGGCUUUCGGGUCGUAAAACUCUGUUGUUAGGGAAGAACAAGUGCUAGUUGAAUAAGCUGGCACCUUGACGGUACCUAACCAGAAAGCCACGGCUAACUACGUGCCAGCAGCCGCGGUAAUACGUAGGUGGCAAGCGUUAUCCGGAAUUAUUGGGCGUAAAGCGCGCGCAGGUGGUUUCUUAAGUCUGAUGUGAAAGCCCACGGCUCAACCGUGGAGGGUCAUUGGAAACUGGGAGACUUGAGUGCAGAAGA
rnacentral:rRNA from 1 species